rnacentral:rRNA from 1 species
UACGAAGGGGGCGAGCGUUGUUCGGAAUUACUGGGCGUAAAGCGCACGUAGGCGGCUUGGUAUGUCGGGUGUGAAAUCCCCGGGCUCAACCUGGGAACUGCAUCCGAAACUGCCUUGCUAGAGUAUGGGAGAGGGAAGUGGAAUUUCCGGUGUAGCGGUGAAAUGCGUAGAUAUCGGAAGGAACAUCAGUGGCGAAGGCGACUUCCUGGACCAAUACUGACGCUCAGGUGCGAAAGCGUGGGGAGCAAACAGG